CCUACGGGAGGCAGCAGUGAGGAAUAUUGGUCAAUGGGCGUAAGCCUGAACCAGCCAAGCCGCGUGAGGGAUGAAGGUUCUAUGGAUCGUAAACCUCUUUUAUAAGGGAAUAAAGUGUGGGACGUGUCCUAUUUUGUAUGUACCUUAUGAAUAAGGAUCGGCUAACUCCGUGCCAGCAGCCGCGGUAAUACGGAGGAUCCGAGCGUUAUCCGGAUUUAUUGGGUUUAAAGGGUGCGUAGGCGGCCUUUUAAGUCAGCGGUGAAAGUCUGUGGGUCAACCACAGCAUUGCCGUUGAAACUGGCGGGCUUGAGUAUGUUUGAGGCAGGCGGAAUGCGUGGUGUAGCGGUGAAAUGCUGAGAUAUCGCGCAGAACCCCGAUUGCGAAGGCAGCCUGCCAGGCCAUGACUGACGCUGAUGCACGAAAGCGUGGGGAUCAAACAGGAUUAGAUACCCGAGUAGUC
rnacentral:rRNA from 1 species